AAAAUAACUCCCUUUUAACUGCCAUAACGGAACAGACUCUAUCAGCUAAAAACUUGAAAAAUGAAUCAGUCAAUCCCCGUUUUUUCCUUGCAUGUAAUUAUAACCUUAUCCAUACCCUUUUUCGUCUUUUCACUCCGAACAGGAGUACCACACCUUCCCGACCCAUGCAACCGGCCGCCGGCGGAUCUCCGAUCGCUCCAAACCGAUCAAACGACGGUACUAAUCAACGGCUACUCCGAACACCGGAUUCCACUUCUCCACUCAAUCGCCACCACUUACGCAGCCGCAUCCUCCGUAGCCGCGGUCAUCAUCCUCUGGAGCAAUCCUUCAACCCCGUCACGAAUCCUCUCAGAUCUCUCCCAAAACCUCUCCCUCUCCGCCGCCAGCGCAACACCUAUCACCAUCCACCGUCAACCUUCCUCCAGCCUCAACCUCCGUUUCCAUCCUCACACAUCAAUCACCACCCGAUCCGUCCUCAUCUGCGACGACGACAUCGAACCGGACACAAACUCAAUAAACUUCGCUUUCAACAUCUGGAAAUCCAACCCAGAUCGGUUAAUCGGAUUCUUCGUCAGAUCUCACAACUACGACAUAACCCAUAAAUCCUGGAUCUACACAAUGGAAACCCAGAAAUACUCAAUCAUGUUAACAAAAUUCAUGAUAUUAAACUUCAAUUACCUCUACCAAUACACAUGCAACAAAGAAUACUCAAAACUGAAACUCAUAGUAGAUGAAAAGAACAACUGUGAAGACAUAUUGAUGAACUUUGUGAUAGCUGAGCAAGUGAAAAAGGGUCCAAUAAUGGUGGGUGCGAAGAAAGUGAGGGAUUGGGGAGACGCGAGGAAUGAAGGUGAAGGUAUGAAGGAAAGAGAAGUGGGUUUGAGUAGUAGAAAAGGAGAGCAUAGAAAGAGAAGAGGAGAGUGUAUUGGUGAGUUUCAUAGAUUAUUGGAGAAGAUGCCAUUGAAGUAUAGCUAUGGAAA
rnacentral:misc_RNA from 1 species